GCAUACUACGAGUCAUGAGGUGGGAACGUUACCUCUAGACUACAUAGGCCGCUUUGACUACUGUAACUCCAUUACCAUUGCUAAUUUUGUGCAAACUCUCAUUUCCAGUUGUUCGUAUUAAAAUAUCUUCCCUGCCUACUUCAACAUUGAAAUCUCCUUACAAAAUUUUCAUAUGGUAUUUUGGGAAUAUAUCUAAUACAUGUUCUAGUUCUUUGUAGAACCUUUGUAUCGUCAGUGAUAUCACUCCAGUGACCUCUAUCCUAUCACUAACAAACUCUACCCACUUAACUGCUGAUAUGAUUCUCUUAUGUGCAAAAAACUGUGCCUAAUUCAUGACUCUCAUUCUCUUUCCAUACAAAAAUGUAUAUUCACCCGCUCAUUUGGUGCCAUCUCUUGCCUAUCUGACCUCCUGUACCCCCAUUAAAUCCAACAUAUUCUGAUAUUUCUUUCCCCACUGUCACGAGAGAACCUGCCCUGUACAAACUUCUUACAUUCCAUGUACCAAAUCUCAUGACUAUUUUCUUUAGCACAGGUAUUUUAUCCACAUAAUCCAUCCAGGUGUCAGGCCCUUUGUGUCAUCUUGUAACAAGUUUAUUUUUUACGGUGAGGAGCUGUUGGCCAAACGCCCAACCACCAGUCUGCAGGACCACCCCUUGUUGCCUGUCCAUGUCUGUGUAUUCAAUAUAUUCACAGCUAUCCUCCAUAUCUGGAGGCCAUCUUUUCCAUCCACAACCUGAGGAUGCGCCAUGCUAUGGUGACAAAGAACCCACUUAACAUGGAUUUCUGGACUAGACAUACCAAAAUUUUGUAAUUUCAUCUACUUCCACUGAAUUAAUGAACAGUUUGUUUCAUUAAUUGAAUAUAAUAUCGUUUAUCAUUUGUUGCAGUUGAAACGUGGAAAGUGCAAAGUAGAUGGCCCUGAAGGUAGUCCGACUCCACAGAAACCUCAACGGAGGGAAUUUGUGAUGCACAAUAAGGCACCCAUGUGGAAUGAAAACAGUCAGGUAUACCAACUUGACUUUGGAGGUCGAGUUACCCAAGAGUCAGCCAAGAACUUCCAGAUUGAGUUCAGAGGGAAGCAGGUGAUGCAGUUUGGACGUAUUGAUGGAAAUGCUUAUACAUUAAACUUCCAGUAUCCAUUCUCUACAUUGCAAGCAUUUGCAGUGGCACUUGCUAAUGUAACACAAAGGCUCAAGUGAAUUCUACUGGGUAUUUUUUGACAUAUCACAGAUCCACCAAACUUGUUCUAUUCAGUAUGAUAUUGAGAAUGGAUGGAUCAUGCAGGCUGUGAAUUGCUAAACAAACAACCAGUUGCCAAACAGACUGUUGUGUGGUCAACCCAAAUGAGAGCUGGGGAAAUGGAAAGUUUCUGCAUGUCGACCACUAUAAAACACACACUUCAGUCUCGUGCUCACAAACCAGCAGACUUAAUUUCAAGUUCUAAAAACUCGUUCUAGUUACACAUCUAUAGAAAUCUUGUCAAGAAUAUUUACUUCUGCUCAUUAUGCUGCAUUUUUUAAAUAUUUGAUCAAGAAUUUCCAUGAAUGUACAUCAGUGAAUGCAUAUCUGCAGAACAUCAUUUUAAGCAGUGUUUUCCUCCAUUCAUUUUGCCUAAGGUUGUGUCUUUUGUCUUUAGAUCUCAUAUCCUUUAGGCCUAUGUAUGUAACUUUACUUCAUUCCAGAAGAGUUUCAGGAAUGCUUUACGUCCAGAAGUUUUUAAAAUGAACUGAGGAAACAUUUAAACAGUAACAGCAUUUAACAGUUGUACUGGUUUAAUAUGUACUCAUAUGAUAUAAAACUGAAGAAAAAUCUGAUAGACUGAAGAAUUUUUUGAAUGGAUAUCUUUUGCAGUAUUGUACUGAUAGUGAAUCUUAGCCAUAAAAGUUAUGUUUCUUUUAUGUUUGACUGUAUCAUCAAAAUGCAAUCAAUAGAGAGUUUGUGCUUUGAGACUUAGGUUUCAGUGGUCUGAGUCUGUAUGCUUUAUUGAGAUGUUUUGUUGUAAUGUUGAUAAGGUAUGACUACUCAAGAAGUUGGGAACUAGUCCAUUGUUUGCAACAUGUAUUAUAAGGCUUAAUAUAAAUUAGCUGGUAAAAAUAAUUUCACAGUCAGGUUGUAGGUUCAGUGAAAUGAAAUUAUGAGGUGCAGGUUUACCAGAUGUUGCUGUCACACUCAGAAACAGAGGUUUAUAGAUGCUCCCUAACUUGAUAGCACAUCAUAUUAAAAUGUUCUGCAUAUAUUUUUGUUAUAACACAGUUUCAUGGUACAGAUAUUUUUAAAAACCAAUAUCUGUAUUAGGGAUAUUUUCAAAUGAAUGAAACAUAGUAGUAUAAAUAUAAUUUAUGAUUCACACUGGAGACCUCACUGAAGUAGUCAAAUUGUC